rnacentral:rRNA from 1 species
AGAGGUAUCGUAAUUGAAGAGGUUUGGAAAGACCCACCACAGAAGGUAAUAGUCCUGUAUGUUAAACGAGAAGACUUUAGAUAUGAUCCAGAGUACCACGGGACACGUGAAACCCUGUGGGAAGCAGGAGGGACCACCCUCCAAGGCUAAAUACUACCUAGUGACCGAUAGCGUAUAGUACCGUGAGGGAAAGGUGAAAAGAACCCCGGGAGGGGAGUGAAAUAGAACCUGAAACCCUGCACUUACAAGCUGUGGAAGCACAUUUCUUGUGUGACCGCGUACUUUUUGUAGAACGGGCCAACGAGUUACGUUAAGUAGCAAGGUUAAGCACUUAAGGUGUGGAGCCGUAGCGAAAGCGAGUUUUAACUGAGCGUUCAGUUACUUGACGUAGACCCGAAACCGGGCGACCUACCCAUGAGCAGGAUGAAGCGAAAGUAAAAUUUCGUGGAGGUCCGAACCCACGAGCGUUGAAAAGCUCGGGGAUGACUUGUGGGUAGCGGUGAAAUUCCAAUCGAGCCCGGAGAUAGCUGGUUCUCCCCGAAAUAGCUUUAGGGCUAGCCUCAAGGUGAGAGAUACGGAGGUAGAGCACUGAAUGUCCUAGGGGGUAUUGCACCUACCGAAGACUAUCAAACUCCGAAUGCCGUCAUCUUAUACUUGGGAGUCAGACUGUGGGUGAUAAGAUUCAUAGUCGAAAGGGCAACAGCCCAGAUCGUCAGCUAAGGUCCCUAAAUGUAAGUUAAGUGGUAAAGGAUGUGGGAUUGCACAGACAACCAGGAUGUUGGCUUAGAAGCAGCCACUCAUUCAAAGAGUGCGUAAUAGCUCACUGGUCGAGUGAUCCUGCGCCGAAGAUUUCCGGGGCUAAAACUUACUACCGAAGCUACGGCAUCAGUAAUGAUGGGUAGGGGAGCUUCCCAUACGGGUUGAAGCAUGACCGUAAGGACAUGUGGACAGUAUGGGAGUGAGAAUGUUGGCAUGAGUAGCGAGAUGUGGGUGAGAAUCCCACAGGCCGUAAACCCAAGGUUUCCAGGGGAAGGUUCGUCCGCCCUGGGUUAGUCGGGACCUAAGCUGAGGCCGAAAGGCGUAGGUGAUGGACAACAGGUUGAUAUUCCUGUACUACCGAUAACCGUUUGAGAGAAGGGAUGACACAGUAGGAUAAGCUAAGCACACUGUUGGUUAUGUGUGCCCAAGCAUUGAGGCAGUCAAAGUAGGCAAAUCCGCUUUGAUAAUGCUGGGAUGUGAUGGGGAGCGAAAUUUAGUAGCGAAGUAGCUGAUUUCACACUGUCAAGAAAAGUCUCUAUCGAGGUUAAAGGUACCCGUACCGCAAACCGACACAGGUGGGUGAGGAGAGUAUCCUAAGGCCAGCGAGAGAACUGUUGUUAAGGAACUCGGCAAAAUGACCCCGUAACUUAGGGAUAAGGGGUGCCACCAUUAGGUGGCCGCAGAGAAUAGGCCCAAGCGACUGUUUACCAAAAACAUAGGUUUCUGCUAAGUCGCAAGACGAUGUAUAGGAGCUGACGCCUGCCCGGUGCUGGAAGGUUAAGGGGAUCUGUUAGAGUAAUCGAAGCAGUGAACUUAAGCCCCAGUAAACGGCGGCCGUAACUAUAACGGUCCUAAGGUAGCGAAAUUCCUUGUCGGGUAAGUUCCGACCCGCACGAAAGGCGUAACGAUUUGGGCACUGUCUCAACAACAGACUCGGUGAAAUUGUAAUUCCGGUGAAGAUGCCGGAUACCUGCGACAGGACGGAAAGACCCCAUGGAGCUUUACUGUAGCUUGACAUUGGGUCUUGGUACUACAUGUACAGGAUAGGUGGGAGGCUUUGAAACCAGGACGCCAGUUUUGGCGGAGCCAUCCUUGGGAUACCACCCUUGUAGUACUGGGACUCUAACCAUAGGCCAUGAAUCUGGUCUUGGGACACUGUCAGGUGGGCAGUUUGACUGGGGCGGUCGCCUCCCAAAAGGUAACGGAGGCGCUCAAAGGUUCUCUCAGUACGGUCGGAAAUCGUACGUAGAGUGUAAAGGCAAAAGAGAGCUUGAUUGCAAGACAUACAGGUCGAGCAAGGAUGAAAAUCGGACUUAGUGAUCCGGUGGUUCUGCGUGGAAGGGCCAUCGCUCAACGGAUAAAAGCUACCCUGGGGAUAACAGGCUUAUCUCCCCC